GACGAACGCUGGCGGCGUGCUUAACACAUGCAAGUCGAACGAUGAAGCGGGUGCUUGCACUCGUGGAUUAGUGGCGAACGGGCGAGUAACACGUGAGUAACCUGUCCUUUUCUUUGGGAUAACGGCUGGAAACGGCUGCUAAUACUGGAUAUUCAGGCUGCAUCGCAUGGUGUGGUUUGGAAAGGUUUUUUCUGGGAUUGGGUGGGCUCGCGGCCUAUCAGCUUGUUGGUGGGGUGAUGGCUUACCAAGGCUUUGACGGGUAGCCGGCCUGAGAGGGUGGGCGGUCGCACUGGGACUGAGAUAAGGCCCAGACUCCUACGGGAGGGAGCAGUGGGGAAUAUUGCACAAUGGACGAAAGUUUGAUGCAGCGACGCCGCGUGGAGGGUGUAGGCCUUAGGGUUGUGAACUCCUUUUUCUAGAGAAAAAGGCACAGUUUUGGCUGUGUUGAUGGUAGUGGGGGAAGAAGCGACGGCUAACUACGUG
rnacentral:rRNA from 1 species